AUGAACAGCGUGGCCUCCGGGGGGCGCUGCCUUCUGACUGCAGGUCUUGAUGUUGUUUUUUGUGUCUAUGCAGACAACAUCUGGACAGACCAGAACUUGCUGCUGGAUCCAGACCUUCCCUCCGGCUGGAGGACCAUCAAAGACUCAACAGGAACCUACUACUGGCACGUUCCCACCGGCGCCACUCAGUGGCAACACCCCCGCCUCAGUGGGACGCCACAGCAGCUAGACACACAGCAGGAGGAGGCUGGACAGCAGAGCUCCAACAAAGAGACAGAGCAACGGCCUGAGGCCAGGUGUUCGUGGCAUGAAGAGUAUCUCACCAAUCACGACCCCAACUCCAAGUGUUUUGCUGUGCGCUCUCUGGGCUGGUUGGAGGUCGAGGAGGAAGACCUGUCUCCAGGUCGCAGCAGUCUUGCUGUCAGUAAUGUCAUCCAGCAGCUGUCUCACUGCAACAGCCCUGAGCACAGAGACAGGCCAGGAGCCUGGGGGGAGGGUCGGGAAAUGAUGCUGGUUCUGAAGAAAGACACUCUGACCCUGUUGGACCCUUUAGACCACACCCCCUUACACUGUCAGCCAAUCAUCAAUAUUCGUGUCUGGGGGGUGGGCUGCAACAAUGGCAGGGACAGGGACUUUGCCUUCGUAGCAGGUGAUAAGGACAGCUGUGUGCUGAAGUGUCACGUGUUUCGCUGCAACGCUCCGGCCAAAGCCAUCGCCACAGCGCUGCAUGAGAUGUGCUCCAAGAUGUUGUCUGAGAAGACGCUGAUGAGGCCGUCUCGCUCUCUGACGAUGGAGAGCAUCUCACCUGAAGACCUGCCAAGACAAGUGGAGUUUCUGGAAGCGGUGCGGCAGCAGGUCCAGAAGUUCCAGGUCCAGUACAUCGGUAACCUGCCAGUGUCCAGAGCAAUGGGUAUGGAGGUGCUGAACCGAGCAAUCGAAAGCAUCAUGAACUCUACAGACAGAGACGAGUGGGAGCCGAUCGUCGUCCACGUCUCUGACAAUAUCCUGUCUCUGUGGAAGGGACAGGAAGGGGAGGAGCCCUUUUGGGAGUGUCAGGUACGUUUCCUCACCUUUCUAGGCGUCGGCCAUGACAGCCACACCUUCGCUGUGAUCGUAGACGGCGGCACGCAGCGUUUUGAGUGUCAUGUGUUUUGGUGUGAACCAGACGCAGGAAACCUGUCUGAGGCUGUCCAGGCUGCAUGUAUGGUCCAGUAUCAGAAGUGCCUGGUAGCUCAGACUCCUCCCCCAAGAACCAAGUCAUGGCGUGUGACCCCGUCAAAGGUCAAACGUGCCAACUCCAUGGACGGCGCCGCCUUCGCUCCACUCACAUCCCAUCACCAUCUCAGCAGCAGUGGCACCAUGAUGACCCCGAGGAUAACCAAGGCCAACGGCAGCAGCAGCAAUGUGAGGAAGGGGAUGAUGGCCUUCUUUGAGACUUUCAGGAACAAACAGGCCGCCACCUCCUAAUGACGGGUCAGGGACCAUCGGAGACAGCAGAAGCUACCGAUCUUCGCCAAGACCAUGAUGGUGUCUCCAGACCAACAUGUGAAUGGCGGAGCCUGCCUCUGGUGGUCUGACAGAAUGAUUGUGCCGCCUUCACGUCACCAGCGACGCCUCGGAGACCACAGUCACCUCACCUCUUGUUCAUUGGACCAGAAAUAUACCUGUCUGAACUCACAAUCAGGCAGCAGAAGCAGACAGGAAACAGCGACGAGAGAGCGAGCUACGACAGCAGAAAAGGUGUGCAGCUGGAAUCAAACCAACGGCGUUACUGAUCAUGUGACCUGCAUGGCAACCAAUCAGCUGCCACGGUGCUCCAGUGUUGUAAUGUUUGGAGAAAAAUGUUCUUUGACAACUUUUUAAAAAAAAUCUGAUGUCAGGAAAAGCUCAAGUCAGAUUUGUUUCUUAACAGUCUGAUUCUCCAUCGUACAUAAAAAUAUUCAAAAUCUUUCAAAUAAAACUUGACAAAAGGGAAAAAACAGAAGAAACAUUUGACAAAGAGAAAUAAAGAGUUUGACAAGCAGCAUUAAAGGAACAGUAAUUAUGUGACCUGUAACUGUGAGGGCUCUUGAACGCCUCCUGAACGGGUCGGUGAACACACUGCAAACAAAUAAACAUUUAUUUUAGUUUAAUUUCAGUUUAAAAAAGUCAACAUCAGUUUGACUCUUUGACUUGCAACUUGCAUGUCGCACACAAAUGAAAGCAUGGAUUUGUGAGGGAACUUUCACGUCAACAUGUCCGAUAGCUUUACGUUCCUGAAUGUACAGCGGAGACGUUCACAGAUAUAUAACUUCCUAUUUAAUAACGUAUUUAAUAUAAACUGACAGAGAAGGUGCAGCUGUCUCCUGAUUGGCUGACGCACCUGUAGAUAGAAGCUUUAGUGUGUUUACUGCCAGUAGGAAACAUCAGCGAGCGGUUUGUGCAUACAACAACAGUCCAAAGUGUCCCCGAAGUCUGCAGCUCAGCGUGAUGAGAAACUGUCCUCACCUGCUCUGUCUCCAUGUCCACAGUUCAAAACUGGCACAACACGAACCGAUGAUGUCAUGUAGAAAUUUACCAAAAAUGUCAAAUAAAC